rnacentral:rRNA from 1 species
AACGAACGCUGGCGGCAUGCCUAACACAUGCAAGUCGAACGAGACCUUCGGGUCUAGUGGCGCACGGGUGCGUAACGCGUGGGAACCUGCCCUUAGGUUCGGAAUAACUCCCCGACAGGGGUGCUAAUACCGGAUAAUGUCUUCGGACCAAAGAUUUAUCGCCUUUGGAUGGGCCCGCGUUGGAUUAGCUAGUUGGUAGGGUAAAAGCCUACCAAGGCGACGAUCCAUAGCUGGUCUGAGAGGAUGAGCAGCCACACUGGGACUGAGACACGGCCCAGACUCCUACGGGAGGCAGCAGUGGGGAAUAUUGGACAAUGGGCGAAAGCCUGAUCCAGCAAUGCCGCGUGAGUGAUGAAGGCCUUAGGGUUGUAAAGCUCUUUUACCCGGGAUGAUAAUGACAGUACCGGGAGAAUAAGCUCCGGCUAACUCCGUG